AGGGGUAUAGCUCAGUAGUAGAGCAUUUGCCUUUCUUACCAAAGGUGCUAGGUUCAAUCUCUGGCAUCUCCA